AUUGAACGCUGGCGGCAGGCCUAACACAUGCAAGUCGAGCGGAUGAAGGGAGCUUGCUCCUGGAUUCAGCGGCGGACGGGUGAGUAAUGCCUAGGAAUCUGCCUGGUAGUGGGGGAUAACGUCCGGAAACGGGCGCUAAUACCGCAUACGUCCUGAGGGAGAAAGUGGGGGAUCUUCGGACCUCACGCUAUCAGAUGAGCCUAGGUCGGAUUAGCUAGUUGGUGGGGUAAAGGCCUACCAAGGCGACGAUCCGUAACUGGUCUGAGAGGAUGAUCAGUCACACUGGAACUGAGACACGGUCCAGACUCCUACGGGAGGCAGCAGUGGGGAAUAUUGGGCAAUGGGCGAGAGCCUGAUACAGCCAUGCCGCGUGUGUGAAGAAGGUCUUCGGAUUGUAAAGCACUUUAAGUUGGGAGGAAGGGCAGUAAGUUAAUACCUUGCUGUUUUGACGUUACCAACAGAAUAAGCACCGGCUAACUUCGUG
rnacentral:rRNA from 1 species